rnacentral:rRNA from 1 species
UAGGGAAUAUUGGACAAUGGGGGGAACCCUGAUCCAGCCAUGCCGCGUGGAGGAAGACUGCCCUCUGGGUUGUAAACUCCUUUUAUAUGGGAAGAACCGUCCUCAUUGAUGAGUGACCUGACGGUACCAUAGGAAUAAGCACCGGCUAACUCCGUGCCAGCAGCCGCGGUAAUACGGAGGGUGCAAGCGUUAUCCGGAUUCACUGGGUUUAAAGGGUGCGUAGGCGGAUACGUAAGUCAGUGGUGAAAUCAACGGGCUCAACCUGUUAACUGCCAUUGAUACUGUGUAUCUUGAAUAUGAGAGAGGUAGGCGGAAUGUUGCAUGUAGCGGUGAAAUGCUUAGAUAUGCUACGGAACACCGAUUGCGAAGGCAGCUUACUAUUUCGUAAUUGACGCUGAGGCACGAAAGCGUGGGUAGCGAACA